UACAGAACGAAAUUUGAUUCGUCGCAUUAACGACGGUGAUUCAAACGUCAAAAAAAUAAUUCGUUUUUGAAGCGCAUUGUUACUGGCGACGAAAAGUGAGUUGUUUACAUAAUUGUAAAGCGCAACAGAUUAUGGUCUAAAAAGAAUGAACCAGCUCAAAUCUCUUUAAAGGCGGAUAGUCACAAAAAAAGUGUGUUGUGAUCAGCUGGACAAAUUGAGUGAUGCGCUCAAACAGAAGAGGCUGGAAUUGAUCAAUAGAAAAGGUGUAGUGUUUCACCAGGAUAAUGCGAAUUUGAUGACUCGCUAAAAGCUUUUGCAGCUUGAAUUGGAUGUGCUACCACACCCAGCAGAUUCUCCAGACUUGGCACUUUUGGACUAUUAUCUCUUUCGAUCUCUGGAAAAUUUUUGAAGGGAAGAACCUUCACCUCACCAUUUGCCUGUAAGGAUAAAAAAUUUAAGAACGUGGAAUCAAUCUCUUGCCGAAAAUAUGCCAAAAGGUUUUGGAUCUAAAUGGAGAAUACAUAUUUUUAUAAAUUGUUUUACACAAUAAAACAAUCGUGUUCAAAUCGUGUUAAAAAA